AUACUUGCCUGGCAGAGGAGACACCAUGAUCACAAAGGUGGUUUUCCCAGGGUGAGGCUUAUCCAUUGCACUCUUGCAACUUCCCCAAAUGUGCGAAACUUGACUCCAUAAUUUGUGGUGGGGGGGGGACUGCGUUUGUGCUUCCCCACC
rnacentral:snRNA from 1 species